CUCCUCAGACUCUCUCUUCCUCUCUCGGCCACGCCUCUCUCUUCUCUCUCCCCGACCUCUCUCUCUCUCGUCCUCACUCUGCCAUCACCGGAAAACCCCAUCUCCGGCCACCACCUCACAAAAUCGCCACCACCUAUCGAUCCAGCAUCUAAAUCCGACCCAAGCCCGAGCCUUAUCGUUGACAUGCAUCUCCGGCAGCCUCCGCGCCCGACAACCCAAGGCUGCGACGCCAUGCCAUCUGCGUUCACCGGUCUCCGAAUCUUUUCCAUAGCCACUGCCUCCACCAACGGGCUCAAGGCAAGCCGUUUAUCAACACUCCAAAGCCUCGUCACUGACCCGACGCCGGAGAACUCUGUAUACGCCUUCGCCGGUGAUCUGGGCUUCUACAAAGCUAGGGUUACGACCUCCGGCCAUGAUUGAGCGAAGCCAUCACCUUGAAGAAGCUUAGGACUACACGAAUCGCCUUAACCCCUUAAUCCCGACUUCUGACCCUGACCAGAACCACCGCACGCGCUUCACGCGCCGUCGCUGGCGCGUGAGAUACUCCAGCACCGCCGUGAUCUUCACCGGCGUAGUCCCUUCAUUUGUUGAAACAUGGACUUUAGAUUGGAUGGAAAGCUUCUGGUCUUGUUUUCAAUUCUGUUCUUAAAGAGAUGAGGAAGAACUGAUGGGGGCUAUGAGUUGCAGUAGGUCAUUGAGUUCAUGACCUUGGCAAGAAUCGAGAUAGGGUAAGAAUCCCAUCCUUUUAGAUUAUGAAUUCAAGCUUGUUGGUUAUUGUGAUUGAUUAAUUAAAACAAGGUGUUCUGUGGUGGGGAUGAGGAGCGAAGUUUUGGAUGAAAGACAUUAGUUUGAGGCCACCACUGCGUCGAAGAGAUCUGUAAGAUACAUGGUGCCAAGAUAAUUGUUGGAGUUGGAUUGCAGCUGCGGUGACUCAACUCUUAGCUUGGAAAUGAAGAAUGGAUUCGAGCGUGUGCAUUUGGAUUUGGACAAAUGAUCGAAAGUCGGGAACGAACACGAAUGUGGACGAGCACUCCAAUUCCAGUGUGCAGGUUUUGAGCAUGUGGUCGGGAAGCGUAUAGGAGAGGCACAUGGCCCGGCUUGGCGUAUUCCUCUGUCUUUACUAAAGGAUUCAUAAGGAGGAGAAUCCCAAAAAGUGAUGAAUGAACCUGUGUGUUGGCAAUGGCAUGAGUGUGGCAAUUGUUGAGAAUCGGUCAAUAUGUGAAGUCGAAAACACAAAUAAACACAGCACACCAAGAGAAACAACCACAGAGAUACAAGCACAAGAACACAAAUUUAAGAUGGUUCAGCAAAACUUUUGCCUACGUCCACCGGGCAGAAAAACGAUCUUCCACUAUAUUUAUAAUGGGUACAACCAGAAAGAAUAAGAAAACAAGGACUCUCUCUUCUCUUCCUAUCUCUCCCUUCUUUGCCCUCUCUCACUCUCUAACUUCGAGAAUGGAAUACACUUUGCUCUCUGUCGUUGUGAUGAAAAACCUCUAGCAGAACCCCUCCUUAUAUAGCCAUAAGGAUAUCAGCUUUCUUCACCGAUUAGGAAACCUAUUCCUAUUGGUGGUAGGCAAUUAUGCCUUCUCCUUCUCUGUAAUCAACAAGGAUUACAGGUAAUCCUACAUCAAUAAGGAUUUUCCUUCCUCAUUGGAACUCCAUUCAUCAGUAGGAAUCCAAAACCUACUGGGUAAACAAUUCUCAUACUCUAAGACAAUUGUCUUGGGAAAGACUCAUGGGUUGGAGACCCAACAACAAUCAAGGCUAUUGGCAGCUUAAAGCUUGAUCUAGGAUUAGAAAAAUUGUUAGUUUUGGAUAAUGUUUUUUAUGUACCUUCUAUGAGAAGGAAUUUGGUUUUAGUUUAUCUUUUAAUUAAAUCUGGUUGUAGACUCAUUAUUGAUAGUUCCAGAAUUCUUAUUUUUAAAAAUUCUGUUCAAAUUGGUUCUGGUAUUAUAUUGAAUUAUUUACAGCUUAAUGAUUCUAUGGCUCAACCAGAAAUUUUACUUGUUGAAGAAAAUAACACAAACAGUACUAACAUUUUAACAGGUGUUAAAAGAACCAAAAGUAAUGAAAAGUCUGCAUUUUUGUGGCAUAGAAGACUUGGUCACUUUUCAAAAGAGAGAUCGAAAUUUUUUAGUGA